rnacentral:tRNA from 1 species
GCAGGUCAGCGCCCUAGGGAGCACAGAGCGCCGCAGCUUCCCAAGCUGAGAGCGCGAGUUCGAUUCUCGUCACCCGCUCC